CAUUUAUCCAGAGCGGCGGAGGGACGGGCCCUAUGAAACCCGGCAACCGAUAAUACGGUGCCAAUUCCUGCGGAAGAAAUUCCGGGAGAUAAAGA
rfam:Megasphaera sp. DJF_B143 contig_11, whole genome shotgun sequence.